rnacentral:rRNA from 1 species
GAUGAACGCUGGCGGCGUGCUUAACACAUGCAAGUCGAGCGAUGAAGUUUCCUUCGGGAAACGGAUUAGCGGCGGACGGGUGAGUAACACGUGGGUAACCUGCCUCAUAGAGUGGAAUAGCCUUCCGAAAGGGAGAUUAAUACCGCAUAAUGUUGAAAGAUGGCAUCAUCAUUCAACCAAAGGAGCAAUCCGCUAUGAGAUGGACCCGCGGCGCAUUAGCUAGUUGGUGGGGUAACGGCCUACCAAGGCGACGAUGCGUAGCYGACCUGAGAGGGUGAUCGGCCACAUUGGGACUGAGACACGGCCCAGACUCCUACGGGAGGCAGCAGUGGGGAAUAUUGCACAAUGGGGGGAACCCKGAUGCAGCAACGCCGCGUGAGUGAUGAAGGUUUUCGGAUCGUAAAGCUCUGUCUUUGGGGAAGAUAAWG